UAGGGAAUCUUCCACAAUGGGCGAAAGCCUGAUGGAGCAACGCCGCGUGUGUGAUGAAGGGUUUCGGCUCGUAAAACACUGUUGUAUGGGAAGAACAGCUAGAAUAGGAAAUGAUUUUAGUUUGACGGUACCAUACCAGAAAGGGACGGCUAAAUACGUGCCAA
rnacentral:rRNA from 1 species